rnacentral:rRNA from 1 species
GAUGAACGCUGGCGGCGUGCCUAAUACAUGCAAGUCGAGCGAACAGACGAGGAGCUUGCUCCUCUGACGUUAGCGGCGGACGGGUGAGUAACACGUGGAUAACCUACCUAUAAGACUGGGAUAACUUCGGGAAACCGGAGCUAAUACCGGAUAAUAUAUUGAACCGCAUGGUUCAAUAGUGAAAGACGGUUUUGCUGUCACUUAUAGAUGGAUCCGCGCCGCAUUAGCUAGUUGGUAAGGUAACGGCUUACCAAGGCAACGAUGCGUAGCCGACCUGGGAGAGUGAUCGGCCACACUGGAACUGAGACACGGUCCAGACUCCUACGGGAGGCAGCAGUAGGGAAUCUUCCGCAAUGGGCGAAAGCCUGACGGAGCAACGCCGCGUGAGUGAUGAAGGUCUUCGGAUCGUAAAACUCUGUUAUUAGGGAAGAACAAAUGUGUAAGUAACUAUGCACGUCUUGACGGUACCUAAUCAGAAAGCCACGGCUAACUACGUG